rnacentral:tRNA from 1 species
GUGGGUAUAGUUCAGUGGUAGAGCACAUGCUUAGCGUGCAUGAGGUCCUGGGUUCAAUCCCCGGGACCAUCA